rnacentral:lncRNA from 1 species
GGUUUUCAGAAUUUCUUCAGAGAGGUGCAAAUAUAAGAUGAAUAACUAUCUCACUAAUAUUGAUAAUUGUUCAUAGCUUCACCUCACUGUGUUAUUGGGCUAUAAGCUCCCUCUUCUCCACCACCCUCCUCCAGAUGGAAAAGGGAGCCCAAGGAGAUGAAAGAAAAAUCAAGAAAAAAAUUAGAAAAAUGGAUCCCCUAUUUCAAAUACACGAAUACCAUAGUCACGAUCUUCCUGUUUCUAUUUAUCACAAGGGCUGGGACAAAGUCAUCCUACCUUUCUGCAGUACCCUGGGCUUUAUUCCUAGGCCUCUCCUCAUAUGGUGGUAAGAAAGGCCACUGGAAACUGUAAGCUUACAUCCUCAUGGC